CAAAGAUUUGGUCCUAGCCUUACUGUUAUUUUUUGCUAAGCUUACACAUGCAAGUAUCAGCACACCAGUGAAAAUGCCCUAACAGUCCCACCAGACAAAAGGAGCUGGUAUCAGGCACACCAUGACAGCCCAAAACACCUAGCUUUGCCACACCCCCAAGGGUACUUCAGCAGUGAUAAAAAUUAAGCAAUAAGCAUAAGCUUGACUUAGUUAUAGCAAACAGAGUUGGUUAAUCUUGUGCCAGCCACCGCGGUUAUACAAGAAACUCAAAUUAACAAAAAAUCGGCGUAAAAUGUGACUAAAACUUCAAUCUAAAAAAUUAAGGUAACCCCCCCACUCAACUGUCAUACGUAAAAGUAUACAUUAACCCAUUAUGAAAAUAACCUUAAUGCUACAACAGAACUAUCUGAACCCACGAUCGCUAAGACACAAACUGGGAUUAGAUACCCCACUAUGCUUAGCCCUAAACUUAGAUAUUUAAUACACAAAAAUAUCCGCCAGAGAACUACGAGCAAAACGCUUAAAACUCUAAGGACUUGGCGGUACCUUAAACCCCCCUAGAGGAGCCUGUUCUAUAAUCGAUAAUCCACGAUUCACCUCACCAUCCCUUGCUAAUCCCGCCUAUAUACCACCGUCACCAGUUUACCCUAUGAGGGAUACAAAAGUAGGCAAAAUAACCAAAUACAGCUAACAAGUCAGGUCAAGGUGUAGCUAAUUGAGAUGGAAGAAAUGGGCUACAUUUUCUACACUAGAAAUUAAUUUACGGAAAGGAACUAUGAAAUAAGUCCCACAAGUAGGAUUUAGCAGUAAAUCGGGAUCAGAAUGCCCAAUUUAAGCCGGUCCUGAGGUGCGCACACACCGCCCGUCACCCUCCUCAAACAACUUAACAACAGUAAAUAAACCAACAAUAAAUAAACAGAUGAGGCAAGUCGUAACAAGGUAAGUACACCGGAAGGUGUACUUGGAACAUU
rnacentral:ncRNA from 1 species